AACGAACGCUGGCGGCAUGCCUAACACAUGCAAGUCGAACGAGACCUUCGGGUCUAGUGGCGCACGGGUGCGUAACGCGUGGGAAUCUGCCCUUGGGUUCGGAAUAACAGUUAGAAAUGACUGCUAAUACCGGAUGAUGACUUCGGUCCAAAGAUUUAUCGCCCAAGGAUGAGCCCGCGUAGGAUUAGCUAGUUGGUAGGGUAAAGGCCUACCAAGGCGACGAUCCUUAGCUGGUCUGAGAGGAUGAUCAGCCACACUGGGACUGAGACACGGACCAGACGCCCACGGGAGGCAGCAGUGGGGAAUAUUGGACAAUGGGCGAAAGCCUGAUCCAGCAAUGCCGCGUGAGUGAUGAAGGCCCUAGGGUUGUAAAGCUCUUUUACCCGGGAUGAUAAUGACAGUACCGGGAGAAUAAGCCCCGGCUAACUCCGUGCCAGCCGCCGCAGUAAAAC
rnacentral:rRNA from 1 species